rnacentral:sRNA from 2 species
ACUACUGCACAGCAGGGCGGCGGGACCCAGGAAGCCGGUGUGACUCCGGCACGGUCCCGCCACUGUGACCCGGGCCCCGGCCCGGCAGUCAGGAACUGACCCGCCGCCCUUCUCCCAUCACAGGGGACGUGGAAAU